rnacentral:lncRNA from 1 species
AUUUAUACCACGGCCACAAUACUGAAACGUUCUGACCAACAAAGUCAUGCUCCUGCAUCUACACAGCAGAUAACUGCAGAAACGGCUUCCUUUCUUCCUUGUAAAAUUGCCUGAAAACAGCUCCCCCUUGCUGUCCGUCGAGGCAUAUCUUCACCAACGUUAAAACAGAGCUGAGGGAGAUCGCAUUUCUGCCUCCCUCCCGCCCUGCAGAGGGGCUCCAGCUGUUCAGAGUAACGGAUUACUAGAUAAGAAAAUGAGAACUGGAUAGCACUGUGAGAACCCGGAAGCGAUAACUUCACUCCUCUUCAUUCUUCUGCCUUUUGAAAUUCUCAGCCCUUAGGCUCCUUGUAUUGAUAGGCCUAAAAACAUGUUUCCAAAUGCUUUAUAGAGAUUAUAAACCUAGGGACUCCCUAGGUUUUCAAAUUCUUCUUUCUAAAAAUAACAAAUAUGUCUCUUAAAGGGUACUGUCCAAUAUAAGCCAUAACUAAAUUAAUUAAUUCAUUAUUUGAGUUAGAGUAGCAUCUCAGUAACCCAGCACUCGAAGACUGUCAGUCCUUUUAACAACUCUUUGAUAGUUCAAAAACUAAAGCUUUUUGGUUUGGAACUAAGAUGAACCCAUUUUUUUCUAAAUCCAUUUCCAAAGUAAGAACCUCAGAACCUAUAGAUCUUGCUUCAAAAUGUUGAUAUGUACCCCCAAGCAAAACAAUUCAAUUUGAAUGUUAUUUCUGAGAACAGCUCACAAAAAAAAGUGCAUAUCACCCUACCCAGUUGUAUUUUCUCCUUUUAAAUGUAUUGGGAGAUGAGACAGUAGAAAAUGGGCUGGGGAAACAUGAGAUCUGGGUGCUAGUUCUGCACUAGGCAAAUACAUGGUCUUAUUCUCUGCGGUUUAGGCUGAGAAGUUUCAUCUGUCUGGUUGCUAAAUUUUCUCAAUGUUAUGUACCCAGAAAUGGACGCCACAUAUCUCAAAACAAUAUUUCAGAUUGGAAGGAAUCUACCUGCCUGUCUGUUUCAGAAGAAGAGAAACUGAAAAAGUAUUCCGGGAAGGGAAGUUUUCCUUUUCUUGACUAAAGAGAAGACCUGAGAUAUUAUGCCAAAUAACAGCUUACAGUCAAGAAAAAAAUGUGUUGCAGCACCUUAUUUUAUUUUUCACAGUUAACAGUGGGAAGAUCCUGCAAGUACACAAUUUUAAUGCCUCUAUAUGGGUAUUAGGAAUGUGAUAUAUAAAAAAUGUCCAGUAGGGAGAAACUAAUCAGUUGGGCAUUUGAUGAAUAUUAACUGAUGAUGGUAAAUAAACAAUUUAGAGUGCAUUAUUAAGUGCUUAAUGGGUUAAUUUUGGAGCAUGUAUUCUAAAGUGUAAAACUACUUGGCUUUUAUUUUGAAAUUUCAUUUGGAACACAAUUGUGAAGGAAAUCAGUGAAAUUCUUGGGUUAAUUAUAUACUUGUUUUACAUAUAGAAUUUCUAUCAUCAUCAAACAAGUCUUAUGCCAUGAUUUCGGGAAGGGUAUGGUUUUAGAGAAAAAAAUACUAAGCAGUCUUAAUGAUACACAGGACCCUGCCAAGCUUAUUACAGUUUCUAGAAUGGACAACUACUAAUGAUUAAGAAACAACUUUCAUCUGUUAUUACACAAGAAACCCGAUUAGGUUAAAGUUUGAUGUUUUCAGACUCUAAAGCCUAUGUUUUUGUAACUUAAUUGGACUUUCAGAGUGUUAAAUUAUGGCUUCAGAGUUUGGCUCUACCUAAAAUUUAGUUAGAUGCCAACCAGGGAGAAAUUAAACCUAAUCCUUCACCCCAAAUAUCAGAGGUUAGACAAACCCAUGUUAAUUGGAGCCUUAUGGUUAUUCAUAUUGGAGGCAAUAGCUUUAUUUAGAGGAAGCCCAGGACAGGGCCGUCUGGGAUGCUAGUUCUGGAAAUGCAGAAGCAGCCACUGUAUCCCUGCCCACCCCCUCCAUCCAGCCCUUUUGGUACUACUCAGUAUUGUUGACAACAUUUGGAAUCAUAAGUAACAUAGGACAGUAAGUAUUAGAGAAUGAUUCUCCGUUAGAAUUGGACCUCAGCCGAUUUGAGCCAAAAUUUAGGAACUAUUCAGAAGACAGUUUCUUUCUUUUGAGUGCUUAAGACAGUGUAAAUGGUUCGAAUCACACACAUUUUAAGAUUCCAUUGUAUACAUAAGCAUUUUAAGAAUAUUGUUUUAACAUAAUUAUUAGGCAUACUAAGUUAUCAUGAAUGAAAAUGUACAUGUGACCUGUAGUAUGUUAUAUAUUAUUAUGGCUAAAUGUUAAAUGCCAUUUUUUUGCUUUUUAGUUUUAUGUAUUUUUGUAUGUAUAUACCCACAUUUUUACAUUGAUUUAUGUUCUAAAUAAUAAUUAAAACAAAGUAUUAUAAAAUGAAUGAAAUAUUUUUGUGUUCCAUGGUCAAAUUAUUAAUAAAUUCAGGAAAGAAAAUCUGAUGAUAAAUCUGAUAUAAAUACCAGAAUAAUUAUUAUUAAUAUAAAAUAAUAUUUUCACAUAUGAAGGUAUGUCUUCAUACUACAGGAUUUCUGACUUGAAUAUAUUCUAUAAUGCUUUAAUUCAUUACCAUAACAAAUGUACUAAGAAUUAAUGUUGCAUCUUUAGUAUUCCAUUUUUUGGAACUGUUUUUCAAAUGUUCUAUAUCCUCUAGCUUAUUAUGCUAUCUAAAAUAAUUUCAGUGUGUUUUUUCCUGGGGCAACUGAAUGAUUCUUGUUUUGAAUGAGUGAUAAAAUGUUUUGUGAUAGUAUCUAAUAUUUGGUCCUUUACAGAAAAAAUGGCUUGUGGUACUAUAUUGAAAAAACUAUUGUAUUUCCUCAAUUUUACUGUGUGUUGUCUUGUUUCUAUAAACAAAAAUAAGUUU